UACAGAGGGGGCAAGCGUUGUUCGGAAUUACUGGGCGUAAAGGGCGCGUAGGCGGCCUGUUAAGUCGAACGUGAAAUCCCCGGGCUCAACCCGGGAACUGCGUCCGAUACUGGCAGGCUUGAAUCCGGGAGAGGGAUGCGGAAUUCCAGGUGUAGCGGUGAAAUGCGUAGAUAUCUGGAGGAAUACCGGUGGCGAAGGCGGCAUCCUGGACCGAGAUUGACGCUGAGGAGCGAAAGCUAGGGGAGCAAACGGG
rnacentral:rRNA from 1 species